rnacentral:rRNA from 1 species
UUGGCGGACGGGUGAGUAACGCGUGGAAAACCUGCCGUAUACUGGGGGAUAACACUUAGAAAUAGGUGCUAAUACCGCAUAAGCGCACAGCUUCGCAUGAAGCGGUGUGAAAAACUCUGGUGGUAUACGAUGGUUCCGCGCCUGAUUAGCUAGUUGGUGGGGUAAUGGCCUACCAAGGCAACGAUCAGUAGCCGGCCUGAGAGGGUGAACGGCCACAUUGGGACUGAGACACGGCCCAAACUCCUACGGGAGGCAGCAG